UAGAAGGAUUUCCAUAGGGUGACAGGCCUUUAAUGACACUGAUAACUCAGAAAUAUUUGCCAAUGCAGUCAAACGGUGUCUAUUAACGUGAGUCACUGAAGUUAAUUGGUAUUAAAAAUGAGCCAAAACGAAAGGCAAGUAUAUGCGUGUCCAGCAGAACGACAGCGAUCAUCACCAUUUGAUCAAUCUUCCCUCACUCUCUAUUGCAGCUAGGUACAAUGAAAAGAGUUUAUGAAGUCAUUACGGGAUAUUCUUGUAGAAAACUUCUUCAAGCUUGGAAGAAAAAAAACAUUUCAGCUAAGUAAAACAGAAAAUACCUGGAAGAAGUGAAAUAUAGUGGUGUUGGAAAAGUUGCUUCAAAGACUUGUUUAAUUAAAAAGAAGGAAGAAAGCAAGUUCCUACUGCAAUCCCAUCUUUGUCAAACUGAUGGUGGGCACCAGUACGAUGUGUUCAGCUAAUACAGGCUGGAAGUUGUAACUGCAGCUGUAAGUUUACCCAGUAAAAAGACUCCGCAAAGCAUUCUAGCAGUUCUGAUGCAACCACUGCUUCCUGAAUUUGUGAUUCACGGUUAACAUGGCAGUACAGGAAGAAGUCUGGCAUUCACUGUGCUCUUACAGCAAAGAAUCUGCACUGCGCACACCAUCCCAAGCCAGGUAUGCGCUCCUAACAGGAAAGGACAAUAGGCUAAUAAGUCUCAGGAGAGAGAAAGAGACAGAACUACUUUAUAACAGUAGCACACGGGCUGAAACCAACAUUCUCUUCCUCUCAUCAUUUUCAUUUAUGUGGACUCCAAGAGAAUACACUCCCAACAUUUUUCAGCUCUGGAGAACAAACAGCCCAACCAAUCUCAUUCACUGAACUACAAAACUGGUAUUUUCACUAUCUAGUCCAGAAAAGAAGGCGCACGUCUCUAACGUACAGUGUAGAGACCUUGUUAAUAAGCAAAGUCUGCAUAAAAUAGGUGGCCACAGCCUGAUUUUCUGACGUUCAGGGCCUUGGGUCAUACACCACCACAGUAUCAGACUUAAUGAAGUCACCUAUCUAUGUGGGCCUCUCAUUACACAGGUCACAUGUUAUGGACCAACCUCUCAACGGCCAAAAAACAACACUGAUACUUCACACUGCUUCUGCCAGGCCAACACACAUCUGUAGCAUCACAUUUUUGGUUGACAACACAAUGAAUGUUUCCACAAAGUACUCGAUGCAACCUAACUACUGUGUUUGGUGAUGCAAAGCAAGCCAUGUCAAAGCAGCUUACCACCCAGGCACAUUCCUGGAAGAUGUUUUGCUGCUCACGUUGAAGAAAAUAGAUUAAAAAAUCCUUUGCUUAACUGUGCAGUUUGCACUUCUGAGCUCAAGUACCUCAGCUAUGCACUACAAUUGAAGUGGCAUCAAACCUUGUAAGGUUUAUGAAGCUUCAGCACUGCCAUCCAAAUUCAAGGAGGCUGCAUCUAUUAUCUUGAAUUUGCCCCAGCUCAGUCCCCUGAAACAAUUCCAUAUACACAUACAAGCAACCCUUUUCCCACCCAGAUUCUUUGCUUCAUCUAUUCCACCUCUACCUUGUGUCAUAUUCUUAUUAAUCUGCCCCUCAAAAGACUCACUGGCUCACACAAAGAAGCAACCCAACAAAUCCCUGUUCCCAGCCACGUUGCUUUCAUGCUUUGGGAAGAGCUAACUACAACAGCUCUAACUGUGAUGCCACCUCACCCCCUCCACCUAUGUGAGGUUCUUUGCCUUCUGUCUCUUCCUACAUGUACACCUGCACUAAAACCAGGAAGAAUGUGCUUCCUACAAUACUCCAAGAGCCUUUUCUGUUUCAGGAUGUCAUCAUUUCAAUUCAGGACUGAAAGUAUUCCUAGCAAAAACCCAACAGCUAAUAGCUAACAGAAGCAGUUUCUGGUGAUCAGCUAGAAGUAACCUGUAAGUACUGAGGAGUCACAAAAGAGAAUUUGUAUUACAUUUAAGAACAGCAUGCAGCUUAUGACCACUACUUUCACUAACUACACUAAGCCAUAAAAAAGAAUUUGAUUCUUACCUGCCAUCACAGCAAUUAUGGUUUAUGUUGCCCCCAAAACACACAUGGCAGUACCAGAACUGUCAACUAGCUUUAGCAGCUUCCACAGCUAUUAAGUACAGUAAUUUCUUUCUUUUUUUUCUUGGAAGAAUAUUCUUUUGUUUCCAGCAUCACUUACUUAUUAUAUACACUGUUAAUUAGCAACUAUUUCUCUAUACUCAUAGGGUUAUGGAGUCCCUAUGACUGGAAAAUACUCUGUACCCUUCAAGAUAAGAACAGCAUAAAGGCAGCAACUCGCAAGACUGUUCCAGCUUAAAGAAAAGCUUUCCUCAUUGCUCUCAUCUCCUUUGACUUGAGUACUGUCAUCCUUCUACCAAAGCUUUAAAAACUUCAUUACCAUGAAUGAAGGAAGACCAGAGAAAUUAGAGAGGGUAGCAGAGGGUAUAACUUAAGGAGCUGUUACUACGAUUUUUUUGUUGUUCCUGGUGGACUAUUUUUCUCUCCUUGCCAGCAAGGAGGGAAAAACCAGCAAGUUGUUUUCUCCAAGUUUUUUUUUGGGGGGGUUUAAGAACAUGGAUUAUGUUGUAGCAAUUUCUUUGCUGUAAAGUGUCAGCUGAGAAGUCUAACAGCAAGAAGGGCAAGGGAAAACUGAAUGCUGAUGCAGAGAGUGCCAGCAGACAUCAUCCUCAUUCCAUGGGAUGUUUGUAGCUAUGGCAGUUGAAGUCUACACUUCCAUAUGCUUAACAUACCAUAUUUAUACGCCAAUUUUAGCUGACCUAGCAGAUAUCAGUAGUACAGUUAGAGCCAGCAGCCUGCAGGAAAAAGUGGGCACAGGUGUUUCCAUAGCAAGGCCUGUGAGUGUCUCCCAUAUAUACUUCCAAUCUAAGCAAGCACAUGAAAGGCUUGGCUUGUCACUUACCUAAGUAACCAGGAAAACAAGUGAAAGCUAGAUUUUGCUUGUGUCCUAAUGCCCAUAUAAAAAUAAAGGCAGAUGAAAUACCCUUA